rnacentral:rRNA from 1 species
AACGAACGCUGGCGGCAGGCUUAACACAUGCAAGUCGAACGCCCCGCAAGGGGAGUGGCAGACGGGUGAGUAACGCGUGGGAACAUACCCUUUUCUACGGAAUAGCUCUGGGAAACUGGAAUUAAUACCGUAUACGCCCUACGGGGGAAAGAUUUAUCGGGGAAGGAUUGGCCCGCGUUGGAUUAGCUAGUUGGUGGGGUAAAGGCCUACCAAGGCGACGAUCCAUAGCUGGUCUGAGAGGAUGAUCAGCCACAUUGGGACUGAGACACGGCCCAAACUCCUACGGGAGGCAGCAGUGGGGAAUAUUGGACAAUGGGCGCAAGCCUGAUCCAGCCAUGCCGCGUGAGUGAUGGAGGCCUUAGGGUUGUAAAGCUCUUUCACCGAUGAAGAUAAUGACGGUAGUCGGAGAAGAAGCCCCGGCUAACUUCGUGCCAGCCGCCGCGGUAAGAC